CAGCAGCCGCGGGAAUACGAAGGGGGCUAGCGUUGCUCGGAAUGACUGGGCGUAAAGGGCGCGUAGGCGGUUUAUACAGUCAGAUGUGAAAUUCCCGGGCUUAACCUGGGGACUGCAUUUGAUACUGGCAGGCUUGAGUGUGGAAGAGGGUCGUGGAAUUCCCAGUGUAGAGGUGAAAUUCGUAGAUAUUGGGAAGAACACCGGUGGCGAAGGCGGCGACCUGGUCCAUAACUGACGCUGAGGCGCGAAAGCGUGGGGAGCAAACAGGAUUAGAUACCCGUGUAGUCCCUGUCUCUUAUAC
rnacentral:rRNA from 1 species